rnacentral:rRNA from 1 species
CACGUAGGGAGCAAGCGUUGUCCGGAUUUAUUGGGCGUAAAGAGCUCGUAGGCUGUUCGAUAAGUCGGGUGUGAAACCUCCAGGCUCAACCUGGAGACGCCACCCGAUACUGUCAUGACUAGAGUCCGGUAGGGGAGCGUGGAAUUCCUGGUGUAGCGGUGAAAUGCGCAGAUAUCAGGAGGAACACCAGCGGCGAAGGCGGCGCUCUGGGCCGGUACUGACGCUGAGGAGCGAAAGCGUGGGGAGCAAACAGG